rnacentral:sRNA from 1 species
GUCUUAGUAUCAAGCCAAUCCAAACACUCCAUCUCCUCUUUCCAUAAAU